AGCUCCAAUAGUGUAUAUUAAAGUUGCUGCGGUUAAAAAGCUCGUAGUUGGAUUUCGGGGGCAUUCAGGCCAAAGCUCGUCCUUGUGGCGUGGCUGGGUCUGGGCUUCCUACGUUUGGAUAGUGGGCAACCGCUUCCAAUCAUUUACUUUGAAAAAAUUAGAGUGUUCAAAGCAGGCGUAACCUUGCCAUUGAAUAUUACAGCAUGGGAUAAUAGAAUAUGACGUUGGUCUUAUUUUGUUGGUUUCUAAGGCUGAUGUAAUGAUUAAUAGGGAUAGUUGGGGUCGCUCGUAUUGAGUUGUCAGAGGUGAAAUUCUAGGAUUUACUCAAGACGAACUAAUGCGAAAGCAUUCGACAAGGAUGUUUUCA
rnacentral:rRNA from 1 species